rnacentral:rRNA from 1 species
UACGAAGGGGGCUAGCGUUGCUCGGAUUGACUGGGCGUAAAGGGCGCGUAGGCGGAUAGUACAGUCAGGCGUGAAAUUCCCGGGCUCAACCUGGGGGCUGCGUUUGAUACGUGCGGGCUUGAGUUCGGAAGAGGGUCGUGGAAUUCCCAGUGUAGAGGUGAAAUUCGUAGAUAUUGGGAAGAACACCGGUGGCGAAGGCGGCGACCUGGUCCGAUACUGACGCUGAGGCGCGAAAGCGUGGGGAGCAAACAGG